rnacentral:rRNA from 1 species
UACGAAGGGGGCUAGCGUUGCUCGGAAUUACUGGGCGUAAAGCGCACGUAGGCGGAUUGUUAAGUCGGGGGUGAAAUCCUGGAGCUUAACUCCAGAACUGCCUUCGAUACUGGCGAUCUCGAGUUCGGGAGAGGUGAGUGGAACUGCGAGUGUAGAGGUGAAAUGUGUAGAGAUCCGGAGGAACACCAGUGGCGAAGGCGCUGUCCUGGGCCACCUCUGACGCUGAUACGCGAAGGCGUGGGGAGCGAACGGG